UGUUCUUCGCUUCACAGUUGUGUGUCUCUCUUGCUUUGACACCUGGGGUGCUGCUCAGCAAUCGUGUCUAUGAAUCUAUGAUACCUCACUCCACCGAGAGGUAGAUAGACAGAGAGCUUCAGUUUGAGAGAGAAAUAGCGCGAGAGAAAGAGAGAGUGAGAGAGAGAGAGAGAGAGAGAGAGAGAGAGAGAGCUCCAAGCUGCGUUCUAUCUAUCUGGGGAUAGAGAGAGAGAGUUUGAGACUGAAGAAGAGGGAGACGGGAAGAAGUUGAUGGUCGAUUCGAACAGAAAUUGAGUGAACUGAUCAUCGUCCUGAGUUUGGCUUUGAUAGUUUAUUCUAAUCGAUUGCCAUUUAAAGUGGUCUGUGCUUUGGGUUCAUCUGUUUCUUUUGCAUUGCCUUUGUUAUAGAUUUUGUGUUCACAUCGAACAGAGCCUGCAACGGCACGAAUGGGUUUUCUUCUCUGAAUUUCUUGACUGCCAAUUCUAAUCCCCUUAACAGUGGUUUUAUGCAAAGGAGUAUCUGGAUUGUUCUUUUGCCGCUGUUUCUGGUUUUGUUAAUUGCUGUUAGUUGGGUGUCC